rnacentral:tRNA from 1 species
GGUUGUGGCUCAGUGGUAGAGUGCUCGCAUAGCACGUGCUAGGCCCUGGGUUCCAUCCUCAGCACCA